AUUGAACGCUGGCGGCAUGCUUUACACAUGCAAGUCGAACGGUAACAGGUUAAGCUGACGAGUGGCGAACGGGUGAGUAAUGCAUCGGAACGUGCCGAUCGUGGGGGAUAACGCAGCGAAAGCUGCGCUAAUACCGCAUACGAUCUGAGGAUGAAAGAGGGGGACCGUAAGGCCUCGCGCGAUCGGAGCGGCCGAUGUCAGAUUAGGUAGUUGGUGGGGUAAAGGCUCACCAAGCCAACGAUCUGUAGCUGGUCUGAGAGGACGACCAGCCACACUGGGACUGAGACACGGCCCAGACUCCUACGGGAGGCAGCAGUGGGGAAUUUUGGACAAUGGGCGAAAGCCUGAUCCAGCAAUGCCGCGUGCAGGAAGAAGGCCUUCGGGUUGUAAACUGCUUUUGUACGGAGCGAAAAGGUCUCCUCUAAUACAGGGGGCUCAUGACGGUACCGUAAGAAUAAGCACCGGCUAACUACGUGCCAGCAGCCGCCGUAA
rnacentral:rRNA from 1 species